rnacentral:rRNA from 1 species
UACGUAGGGUGCGAGCGUUGUCCGGAAUUAUUGGGCGUAAAGAGCUUGUAGGCGGUUUGUCGCGUCUGCCGUGAAAAUUCGAGGCUCAACCUCGAACUUGCGGUGGGUACGGGCAGACUAGAGUGCGGUAGGGGAGACUGGAAUUCCUGGUGUAGCGGUGGAAUGCGCAGAUAUCAGGAGGAACACCGAUGGCGAAGGCAGGUCACUGGGCCACUACUGACGCUGAGUGACGAAAGCGUGGGGAGCGAACAGG